AGCGGCGAACGGGUGAGUAAUGCAUCGGAACAUGUCCAUGUCGUGGGGGAUAGCCCGGCGAAAGCCGGAUUAAUACCGCAUACGCUCGAGAGAGGAAAGCCGGGGACCGCAAGGCCUGGCGCGAUUGGGUUGGCCGAUGUCCGAUUAGCUAGUUGGUGAGGUAAAGGCUUACCAAGGCGAUGAUCGGUAGCUGGUCUGAGAGGAUGAUCAGCCACACUGGGACUGAGACACGGCCCAGACUCCUACGGGAGGCAGCAGUGGGGAAUUUUGGACAAUGGGGGCAACCCUGAUCCAGCCAUUCCGCGUGAGUGAAGAAGGCCUUCGGGUUGUAAAGCUCUUUUGUCCGGAGCGAAACGGUUGUGGUGAAUAUCCACGACUACUGACGGUACCGGAAGAAUAAGCACCGGCUAACUACGUGCCAGCAGCCGCGGUAAUACGUAGGGUGCGAGCGUUAAUCGGAAUUACUGGGCGUAAAGCGUGCGCAGGCGGUUUUGUAAGCCAGUCGUGAAAUCCCCGGGCUUAACCUGGGAAUGGCGAUUGGGACUGCAAGGCUGGAGUAUGGCAGAGGGGACUGGAAUUCCUGGUGUAGCAGUGAAAUGCGUAGAUAUCAGGAGGAAUACCGAUGGCGAAGGCAGGUCCCUGGGCUGAUACUGACGCUCAUGCACGAAAGCGUGGGGAGCAAACAGGAUUAGAUACCCUG
rnacentral:rRNA from 1 species